rnacentral:rRNA from 1 species
CAUGUAGGCUGGUUAUCCAGGCAAAUCCGGAUAACCAAGGCUGAGGUGUGAUGACGAGGCACUACGGUGCUGAAGUAACAAAUGCCCUGCUUCCAGGAAAAGCCUCUUAGCAUCAGGUAACAUCAAAUCGUACCCCAAACCGACACAGGUGGUCAGGUAGAGAAUACCAAGGCGCUUGAGAGAACUCGGGUGAAGGAACUAGGCAAAAUGGUGCCGUAACUUCGGGAGAAGGCACGCUGGUGUGUAGGCGAAGUCCCUGCGGAUGGAGCUGAGACCAGUCGAAGAUACCAGCUGGCUGCAACUGUUUAUUUAAAACACAGCAC